CCUAAAUCACAUCUUCUUCUUUGUGUCUCUCUCUCUCUCUCUCUCUCUCGAGAAAAUCUGAGAAAAUUCACCGGCUAUUAUCUCUACGAUGCUUCACUUCCCCUUCGCCAGCGUUACUUAUUCUUACCUGGCUGAUUAUAUCCAUCUUAUCUUGUGAAGGAAGAUCAGCUAGUUAUGGAAGCCAAAAACAUGAUUAGGCAGAAAGAAUGCAGAAGCGUCUGGAGUCAAUAUGGUUCUGCUGCAGAGGACGAGGAAACUGUUUCAUCUCAAGACUCAUGUGUUACAUCACACCCACGGGUUAACAGGUAGACAUGAGAGCCAGGAUUCGAGUAAACAAAGGUUAAUAACAUAAGAGAUAAAUAUCGGGCACAGUGCACCUGCUUGUUCGAUAUCACAUUUUCAUUUUGGGAUUUUUGUUAAAAACUUAGUUAUUUGCCAUGUCAAUAUCAAGUUAGGCUUGUUACUAUACUCAAAAUUGAUUUAUUUUUUCCUGUUUAAAGUUGUAUUAUAUGGUACCAGAUGAAAUUGAAUGUC